GGAAGACAGCUGAGAAAAAGUCUUCCCUCUGAGCAACGUGGUCGAUAUGGAGAGAAGGUACUGAUCUGGUCCAUGGAAUCGUCCGGAACCAGCGAACGAGUUUCGCUCAGGCCCAGCUCUCUGAGACGGCAGCACACGCCGAGAACCUGCUGAUGCUAAGCCCGUGGAAUCCCAGCCCCACCUGUGACGGCGGCGUGGCUUCCCUCCUCUACAUCCACGUUCAGAAAACGGAGGCGUGAGAUCCACGACAAGUAAGACAAGGCCACGCAGAAGGGAGGCCGUGUCCGGACGGCGAUUCUGCCGAAACGGAGCUCGGGCCGCCCUGGCGUCACGGCGCGUGUGGGCUGCUGCACGAGGCCGCCCUGCAGUCCCUGCGCUGAGCCCCCGAAGCCAGCACGGCUCUGGGGAGGGAGCCCCCGAAGCCAGCACGGCUCUGGGGAGGGAGCCUCUGCAGCCACACGGACUCCCCUUCCGGAGGCAGGUGCCUGCGGCCUGGUGAGUAACCGCGCUCCGCCCGGGAGCGGGCAGCCUGUGCAGUGUUCCUGAUAACACUGAGCUCUAGGCCUCACUGAACAGGAACAGAGUGGGAGUUCGGAGCCAUUAAAAAUAUAAAUGCCAUUCACUUUGACUUUUAUCAAACAAACCUAAUGCCUUUCAGUUACAGGGUCAAACUCCAAACGCCACGGCCACGUGCGCACGUGAUAACAAACAUGACGGUUACCUCCAAGCUCCUUCCUGGCAGGCGCCGGACUCCUGGCCCCUGGGCCACAGGACACGCAGCAGAGAGGAAACGACAGAGUAAAGCGUGAGACGCCAGAUCCGCUAGCCCUGACGCCGAGCACCACGCAGGAGCCAUGGAUUAGUAGCUCGGUGUGACAAAAGCUGUUAUUUAAUGCAAGCACUUCCAAUAACUCCCGCAACAACACAUGCUUAUUUAGAAGCAGUUAGCCCUCCCUGGUUUGGCUCAGUGGGUAGAGCGUCGGCCUGUGCAUUAAAGCAGCGGGUGCCAACUGGUGGUGUGUAAGAUCCGAAAGGCUGGCGACCGCUGGACUGAAGGGUCCCAGGUUCAAUUCCGAUCAAGGGCACAUGCCCAGGUUGCGGGCUCAGUCCCCAGUGGGAGGCGUGCAGGAGGCAGCCGAUUCAUGAUUCUCUCUCAUCAUUGAUGUUUCUAUCUCCCCCCCUUUCUCUCCAAAAUCAA